rnacentral:rRNA from 1 species
GACGAACGCUGGCGGCGUGCUUAACACAUGCAAGUCGAACGGAAAGGCCCUGCUUUUGUGGGGUGCUCGUGUGGCGAACGGGUGAGUAACACGUGAGUAACCUGCCCUUGACUUUGGGAUAACUUCAGGAAACUGGGGCUAAUACCGGAUAGGAGCUCCUGCUGCAUGGGGUGGGUUGGAAAGUUUCGGCGGUGGGGGCUGGACUCGCGGCUUACCAGCUUGUUUGUGGGGUAGUGGCUUACCAAGGCUUUGACGGGUAGCCGGCCUGAGAGGGUGACCGGCCACAUGGGGACUGAGAUACGGCCCAGACUCCUACGGGAGGCAGCAGUGGGGAGUAUUGCACAAUGGGCGGAAGCCUGAUGCAGCAACGCCGCGUGCGGGAUGACGGCCUUCGGGUUGUAAACCGCUUUCGCCUGUGACGAAGCGUGAGUGACGGUAAUGGGUAAAGAAGCACCGGCUAACUACGUG